ACCGCUCCGUGGCUUAGUGGUUAGAACGUCCGGCUCGGAUGCGGGAGGUCGUGAAUUCGAUCUUCGGACGAGUCGUA